AACAUGUGCGCGAGCCGCGGGGCAGUACGAAACCCCGUAAGGCGAAAUGAAGGUGAACGCCGGCGCGGUCCGGCGGAGGUUGGAUCCCGUCCCGUCGGGGCGGGCGCACUACCGGCCGAUCUUCUCCGCCCUGUCGGCGAGGUCGAGCGAGAGCGUGCAAGUCGGGACCCGAAAGAUGGUGAACUAUGCCUGAGGAGGUUGAAGCCAGAGGAAACUCUGGUGGAGGACCGUAGCGAUUCUGACGUGCAAAUCGAUCGUCAAAUUUGGGUAUAGGGGCGAAAGACUAAUCGAACCGUCUAGUAGCUGGUUCCCUUCGAAGUUUCCCUCAGGAUAGCUGGCGCUCUGUCGCAGUUUUAUCUGGUAAAGCGAAUGAUUAGAGGUCUUGGGGGCGAAACGCCCUCAACCUAUUCUCAAACUUUAAAUUGGUAAGAAGCCCGACUCGCUCGUUUGGAGCCGGGCAUGGAAUGCGAGUGCCAAGUGGGCCACUCUUGGUAAGCAGGACUGGCGAUGCGGGAUGAACCGAACGCCGGGUUAAGGCGCCCGACGCGACGCUCAUCAGAGCCCACAAAAGGUGUUGGUUGAUAUAGACAGCAGGACGGUGGCCAUGGAAGUCGGAAACCGCUAAGGAGUGUGUGACAACUCACCUGCCGAAUCAAUCAGCCCUGAAAAUGGAUGGCG
rnacentral:ncRNA from 1 species